AGUCUUUCCACUGCUGCUGGCUGAGCGGUUUCUAAUUAUCCUCCUUGGACUUUUGUGCACCAUAAUCAACAGUUAAUUGGAAACAAUCAAAUUGGUGAUCUAGGGAAGUAGAGAAGAGUGAUAGAGGAGGGCAGGGACUAAACCAGGAGCAGACACUAGUGAUGGGCACAGCUGAUGGCAAACAGCUGUUUGGAGUAGAGGGGGCUCAGAGGAAGAGGGGCUGGAAUGAAAGCCAAAGCAGUGCUUCUUUCCUCUGUCCCUGAAACAUCUUCACUUUGCAACUCACUUCUGGCACAUUGGCCCUUUUAAGACAAUACUGCUUGGUUUUACUGGCAGCAUUGUUAGGUACCAUUGGUCUGUAGAAAAAACAGCACACUGGAGGAUGGCAAAAAAGGAGACUUAAAAGUCACAGAAUCAAGCCUUACAGAGCUCAAGAAGUGCUUGGAUAAUAUGCUCAGGCAUAUGGUGUGAAUCUUGGGGCUGUCAUGUGCAGAGCCAGGAACUGGACUUCAAAUAAGACUUGUGGGUCCCUUCCAACUCAGGAUAGCCUGUGAUUGUAUUAUAUGGUAGCACUAACACUGCUGUUUUUCCUGUAGUUAUCCAGAUGCUUCCUACCAUCUCUGAAGAGUCCUGCCAGGCUGGAUGUAAGCUCCAGGAAGGUGAAGAGGUGGCCCCAGCAUGUGGUGCAAUCCCAACCACAAAACGAUCUUUUCAGAAGGACAUGACAAGCACAGGAAAGAGCUCCUGUGCCUAAAGCUGAUAAGGGAGAAAGUCUGUCAGUCUGCCCAGCUGUGACAGGUAGGUGAAGGAAUCCAAGUCCACCUGCCAGCAAAGAGGUGCACAAGGAUCUGCUGCCCCUCCUCAACACCAUGGCUGCCUCUCUGCAACUUGCAAAAGAGCAGUGGUUGCAAAAGCAGUUUCCAAGCAGCAGAGCUAAUCAAACCAGUUGUCAUAAAGCAACCAUCAGAUGCUGUCUAAGGAGGUGUUUGAUUCAGUUGGUGACAGCAAUCUCUCUGCUUGAGAUAUGUUGACCAAGGUGUCUGGAGGGUGGUAUGAUCAGUGUUAGUAAGAGGAAGAUACAGGAAGACGAGCACAUGAUGUCCCUCAGGGCUCUUCUUCUGACCUGUCCUAAAAAGUAAGCAUCACCAAUAUGUGUCAGUACCCGACUAUGGGAAACUUAACUACUGUGGGAAAUGGCACUGUGUUGCAGUGCAUCUAAAAAUCUUGGUAUCUCCCAAGAGUAAAAUUAACUUCUGGUUUGUGUAAUGUUAGUUUCUACCUGAGAACUUUUUUCUCUUCCCCUUCUUAUUGGCUGUGACCUCCCUGUAUCCUCCAAUCACC
rnacentral:lncRNA from 1 species